rnacentral:rRNA from 1 species
UACGGGGGGAGCAAGCGUUGUUCGGAAUUACUGGGCGUAAAGCGUGCGCAGGCGGUUAUGUAAGACAGAUGUGAAAUGCCCGGGCUUAACCUGGGAACUGCAUUUGUGACUGCAUGGCUAGAGUUUGGCAGAGGGGGGUAGAAUUCCACGUGUAGCAGUGAAAUGCGUAGAUAUGUGGAGGAACACCGAUGGCGAAGGCAGGUCUCUGGGCUGAAACUGACGCUCAUGCACGAAAGCGUGGGGAGCAAACAGG